UACGUAGGUUGCGAGCGUUAUUCGGAUUUACUGGGCGUAAAGAGCACCGAGGUGGCUUCUUAAGUUGGAUGUAAAAUCUCCUGGCUUAACUGGGAGGCGCCAUUCAAAACUGAGGAGCUUGAGGUCAGCAGGGGAAGGUGGAAUUCCCGGUGUAGUGGUGGAAUGCGUAGAGAUCGGGAGGAACACCAGUGGCGAAAGCGCCCUUCUGGGCUGCACCCGACACUCUAGUGCGAAAGCGUGGGGAGCAAACAGG
rnacentral:rRNA from 1 species